GGUCGGACGAGGCGGAAAGCCCUCCGCGUAGGUUGGGGAUGGCCAAUGCUGCUAUCAGCCUGCCUGACGGAAUGAUAUAGCCCUUAAUCCUUAAUCUUUAGGCAUGCAAGGGCAUGACGGCGGCGGCGACGCGAAAUCUAUUGAGGGUGGAUGCCGCGCGCUCGGGUGAAUAAGGCCGUUGCAGCUCGGAAGGAUGCGGCCGCGUCGAUGCGGACGGCCCAGGGGCCAGCUCGGCUGCUGCCCGUUCCGGAGCAUAGGAGCUCAUGCGGGGUGGCGCAUCUGCCGGAGCAGAGGAAGUCCGGCGUUGGAGGGCCUGUGGGUGGAUAUGGCACGACUACUGCACCAUCCUCGUUCACGGACGCAAGCGGCUUCUUCAACUCUGAACCAUGGGUUCUUUCCCAAUCUUCAGAUCCUGCGACAUGGUAUUGUCUCCUGCUUCAUUCUUGUAAUGUAUGUCUGCUGCUUCAUUCUUUUCUCUUCUUUGCGACAUGGUAUUGUCUCCUGCUUCAUUCUUGAUGUAUUCUUUGCUCAAUAUGUCUGCUGCUUCAUUCUUUUCUCCCCUUUGCAGUUAGUCUAGAAUGUUAUAAUUCUUGUGAUGGAAGACUUCUUUCAAUAGUAAUAUCAAAUGCUGGAACUGGUUUUAAUUCGAAUUUGCUAAUUCAAAGUUUGGAGUUUGUGUUCA